UGGUAGAGGAGAUCUGAAAGGCCCUGGACAUUCUCCAUUCUAUUAGCAGUGGGCCCUAGGGAAGAAGGGAUCCCAGUUGCUCUCAUUCAUUUAAAGGGCUUCACUGCCUUGGCUCCCUGUGGGCCGCAGAAUCUACACCACCACCCAGGCCCCUUGUGAGCACCUUGACUUCUCCACAAUGUAGGUUUUCUGAGGCUUCUCUUCUAGAGCCAGGUCCCACUACACCACAGCAUUUCCAUGAGAUCUGAGGCUCACCCCAACCCUGUGGAUCUCCUCUCUUUACAGCCCUGUCGCCCCACUGAAAUGCUCCCCACUACAGCUUCUCCUCAGCCCUGCAAUGGGUUGCUUCCUGUCCCCACAAAUUGUACUUUUCUGUCUCCUUGGAAUUGGGAGCACCACCCACCAGUCCUCUGUUGGAACCCCAGCUUCUUUCCUUCCAGGUAGACGAGGACUGAGCUCUGGAUAACUGGAAUACCGGCCACCCCAGAGGUGCCUGGUCAGCCGGACCUCUCCACCUCCUUGGAGGCUAGAAAAUGGGCAGAAAGCCAGGUUUUUCCGCCAUCCCAGGCACCCUUUUGCUAGGAUAUGAGUGAAUCUUUACAGUCCCUGCUUUCGUGGACCAAUGGCCAAGCAGCCUUCCCCACUUGGCCCUGGGUUUGGCUGGUACGCCCUGCAGAACAGCUGCCUGGGACUGUCUCUCCCUCUUCUGAGGAGGACUGUAUGCAGGGAUCCACUACUCCAUCUGCCCCUCCUUUGGCCAGAAUGUCGGUGGGACCUAGGUCCUCUUCGCACAAGACCUGAAGACCUGCAGACACACUUACCUCUCAGAGGUCCGUGGGAGGUACUUCAGCAAUAUGUGGAUACCAGUUUCCCACUUCCCGGACUACAACCCACAGCUGGUGAGUGGAAAAGAGGACAUUCUUCUAAGAAGCUACCAACAAAGGAGGUGCUCAUAUGAACGAAAGGGGACAGGAUAGAAGAGAAGAGGGAGACUGAAUGUGGGAAAUGGAGAGAAAGCGAAAAAGAAAGGAAUAACCAGAAAGGACCAUUUGCUGGUAAUUUUUUUUUUUUCCUGAUUGGAAAAGUAAUUCAUGCUCCCUGUAAAAAUCCAGACUUUUUCAUUACUGUUUAAGUUUGAUACUGAAAGUCCUCCUCUGGUGCCAGCCUCUGCUAACUGUUUAGGUAUAUUCUUCCAGAUUAUUUAUUACACGAAUACUUUUUGUUUUUAAAGAAAUAGCUUUGUACUAUACACACUGUUGUGCAAGUUUCCCACUUAUAUCUGCGACACCUUCGGAAUGAAUAUGUGAAGUGUGAAGAUCACGUUUAGUUUAAAUAUUGAAUUAGAAUCGAAUGAGAAGCCAUGUUGCACAUUGCCCCUGCCAGCCAUCUCCUGGCCAGUUUAGAGAGAAGGCCUUCAGCUGCCUCUGUUUCCCUUUUACAGUCAGUGACAUCCCCUGAGGGCAGUCCCUUGCUGCGUAUUGGGUCAACCCCCGGCGGCCUGUGGACUCGGCUGGGAGGCCAGAAGCCGAGGGAGAAGACCAGUAGCUGGCCAUAGUCUUGUGGGGGCCUCACUGGGCCCUCCUUGCCCGCUGCUCCCGGAACCUUGUGCCUAUGGAUUAAUCAUUGCUGCAAAAUCUCACGUCCAGGAAGAAUUAAACCCAUCGCCUUGGGGGCAAGACUAGCCUGGCUUUUGCAUCUUUAUAGCCUUUCUCCGCAGGUGCAGCCACCACCUCCAAAGUGACUGCCGGUCGGUCCAAGCGCUCUAACAGGCUCUUCCCCGAGCCUACCUGGGCUCGAGGGGUCCCACACCUGGUCCGGGGCGUAGCCCAUGUGAGGCCUGCAAGCUCCGGGCGCCUGGCC
rnacentral:lncRNA from 1 species